rnacentral:rRNA from 1 species
AUUGAACGCUGGCGGCAGGCUUAACACAUGCAAGUCGAGCGAGCGGCGGACGGGUGAGUAAUGUCUGGGAAACUGCCUUAUGGAGGGGGAUAACUACUGGAAACGGUAGCUAAUACCGCAUACCAUCAGAUGGGCCCAGAUGGGAUUAGCUAGUAGGUGGGGUAUGGGGUCACCUAGGCCACGAUCCCUAGCGGGUCUGAGAGGAUGACCAGCCACACUGGAACUGAGAAACGGGCCAGACUCCUAAGGGAGGCAGCAGUGGGGAAUAUUGCACAAUGGGCGCAAGCCUGAUGCAGCCAUGCCGCGUGUGUGAAGAAGGCCUUCGGGUUGUAAAGCACUUUCAGCGAGGAGGCGUUACUCGCAGAAGAAGCACCGGCUAACUCCGUGCCAGCAGCCGCGGUAAUUC